UCGGACGUAGUGCACGGUGCACCCUCUCCUGGUGGUGGUAGAAGAAAAAUAUGAGGCGGGGAGCCUGGGUUCGAUUCCCAGCGUCCGAC